rnacentral:rRNA from 1 species
UACGGAGGGUGCAAGCGUUAUCCGGAUUCACUGGGUUUAAAGGGUGCGUAGGCGGGCAGGUAAGUCAGUGGUGAAAUCCUUGAGCUUAACUCGAGAACUGCCAUUGAUACUAUCUGUCUUGAAUAUUGUGGAGGUAAGCGGAAUAUGUCAUGUAGCGGUGAAAAUGCUUAGAUAUGACAUAGAACACCUAUUGCGAAAGGCAGCUUACUACGCAUAUAUUUGACGCUGAGGCACGAAAAGCGUGGGGGAUCAAAACAGG